rnacentral:rRNA from 4 species
CCUCGGAUCAGGUAGGGAUACCCGCUGAACUUAAGCAUAUCAAUAAGCGGAGGAAAAGAAACCAACCGGGAUUGCCUCAGUAACGGCGAGUGAAGCGGCAAGAGCUCAAAUUUGAAAGCUGGCCCCUCCGGGGUCCGCAUUGUAAUUUGCAGAGGAUGCUUCGGGUGCAGCCCCCGUCUAAGUGCCCUGGAAUGGGCCGUCAGAGAGGGUGAGAAUCCCGUCUGGGAUGGGGUGCCUGUGCCCGUGUGAAGCUCCUUCGACGAGUCGAGUUGUUUGGGAAUGCAGCUCUAAAUGGGUGGUAAAUUUCAUCUAAAGCUAAAUAUUGGCCGGAGACCGAUAGCGCACAAGUAGAGUGAUCGAAAGAUGAAAAGCACUUUGAAAAGAGAGUUAAACAGCACGUGAAAUUGUUGAAAGGGAAGCGCUUGCGACCAGACUCGCCUCCGGGGUUCAGCCGGCAUUCGUGCCGGUGUACUUCCCCGGGGGCGGGCCAGCGUCGGUUUGGGCGGCCGGUCAAAGGCCUCCGGAAUGUAGCGCCCUUCGGGGCGCCUUAUAGCCGGGGGUGCAAUGCGGCCAGCCUGGACCGAGGAACGCGCUUCGGCUCGGACGCUGGCAUAAUGGUCGUAAACGACC